rnacentral:rRNA from 1 species
GAAGCGACCUCAGCUC